rnacentral:miRNA from 1 species
UUGGCUGUGAGGACCUGCUGUGUCU